rnacentral:snRNA from 1 species
AAACUUACCUGGCUGGGAGGGUCUCGCGACCAACAAGGCGGGACCUCCACGAUGAGGCUUGGCCAUUGCACUCUGGGUCGUGCUGACGCGUGUGGCUAUCCCGAGUUGGGGUCAGCCAACAGCACAAUUUUUUGCGUUUGGGGUUGCGUACGCGCUCCCCCGC